GGUCAAUGGCCUAACGGCUGAACCAGCAACUUGGGGGAAUGGAUAUAUAUAUUAGAGAUAAUAUAUAGUACCGACUCUGUCGGCUAAAGUUCUAGAUAGAAUAAUGAUAAUGACAAUUUUCUAUCUAUAUGUCUUGACCAAAUCUUGUGCCAGCAGUCGCGGUAAUACAAGGGAGACUAGUGUUAUUCAUCAUUAUUAGGUUUAAAGGGUACCUAGACGGUAUGUCAAGCCCCCAAAGGGAACUGAUAUUCUAGAGUUUUAUGUGAGAGGUAAAUAUAGUACCAUUGGAGUAGAGAUAAAAUUCUGUCAUACCUCUGGGCACGGGUAACGGCGAAGGCAAUCCUCUAUGUAAAAACUGACGUUGAGGGACGAAGGCUUGGAGAGCGAAUAGGAUUAGAUACCCUAGUAGUCCUUGCAGAUAAUUAUGAAUGUCAUAGAUUAGAAAUUUAUUUUGGUCUAUAAAUGAAAGUGUAAGCAUUCCACCUCAAGAGUAAAUUGGCAACAUCGGAACUGAAAUCAUUAGACCGUUUCUGAAACCAGUAGUGAAGUAUGUUAUUCAAUUCGAUGAUCCUCGAAUAACCUUACCACAAUUUGAAUGUUAAUUAAAAAAAUUAACACAGGCGUUGCAUGGCUGUCUUCAGUUAAUGUCGUGAGAUUUGGUUAGAUCCAAAAAAUUAUCGUAAGCCCUUGUUCUUUAUUUGUUUGAAUAAUGCAGUUAACCGCUAUAUUGGAUAAUAUAAC
rnacentral:rRNA from 1 species